AGACCCGAAACCCGGUGAUCUAGCCAUGGGCAGGUUGAAGGUUGGGUAACACUAACUGGAGGACCGAACCGACUAAUGUUGAAAAAUUAGCGGAUGACCUGUGGCUGGGGGUGAAAGGCCAAUCAAACCGGGAGAUAGCUGGUUCUCCCCGAAAGCUAUUUAGGUAGCGCCUCGUGAAUUCAUCUCCGGGGGUAGAGCACUGUUUCGGCUAGGGGGCCAUCCCGGCUUACCAACCCGAUGCAAACUGCGAAUACCGGAGAAUGUUAUCACGGGAGACACACGGCGGGUGCUAACGUCCGUCGUGAAGAGGGAAACAACCCAGACCGCCAGCUAAGGUCCCAAAGUCAUGGUUAAGUGGGAAACGAUGUGGGAAGGCCCAGACAGCCAGGAUGUUGGCUUAGAAGCAGCCAUCAUUUAAAGAAAGCGUAAUAGCUCACUGGUCGAGUCGGCCUGCGCGGAAGAUGUAACGGGGCUAAACCAUGCACCGAAGCUGCGGCAGCGAACGUAUCACUUAAAGCGAUUCAGCGGGUUACGAUUGACGGAGCGAAGCGACGUCAAAGCGUAUACAAAGUCGAGUCGGUUUAAGGAUACGUUCGUUGGGUAGGGGAGCGUUCUGUAAGCCUGUGAAGGUGGCCUGUGAGGGUUGCUGGAGGUAUCAGAAGUGCGAAUGCUGACAUAAGUAACGAUAAAGCGGGUGAAAAGCCCGCUCGCCGGAAGACCAAGGGUUCCUGUCCAACGUUAAUCGGGGCAGGGUGAGUCGACCCCUAAGGCGAGGCCGAAAGGCGUAGUCGAUGGGAAACGGGUUAAUAUUCCCGUACUUGGUGUUACUGCGAAGGGGGGACGGAGAAGGCUAUGUUGGCCGGGCGACGGUUGUCCCGGUUUAAGCGUGUAGGUGUGUGUUCCAGGUAAAUCCGGUU
rnacentral:rRNA from 6 species